rnacentral:rRNA from 1 species
ACUCCUACGGGAGGGCAGCAGUAGGGGAAGUCUUUCCACAAUGGACGAAAGUCUGAUGGAGCAACGCCGCGUGAGUGAAGAAGGGUUUCGGCUCGUAAAAACUCUGUUGUUAAAGAAGAACAUAUCUGAGAGUAACUGUUCAGGUAUUGACGGUAUUUAACCAGAAAGCCACGGCUAACUACGUGCCAGCAGCCGCGGUAAUACGUAGGUGGCAAGCGUUGUCCGGAUUUAUUGGGCGUAAAGCGAGCGCAGGCGGUUUUUAAGUCUGAUGUGAAAGCCUUUCGGCUCAACCGAAGAAGUGCAUCGGAAACUGGGAAACUUGAGUGCAGAAGAGGACAGUGGAACUCCAGUGUGUAGCGGUGAAAUGCGUAGAUAUAUGGAAGAACACCAGUGGCGAGGGCGGCUGUCUGGUCUGUAACUGACGCUGAGGCUCGAAAGUAUGGGGUAGCAAACAGG